rnacentral:rRNA from 1 species
GACGAACGCUGGCGGCGUGCUUAACACAUGCAAGUCGAGCGGUAAGGCCCUUUUGGGGGUACACGAGCGGCGAACGGGUGAGUAACACGUGGGUGACCUGCCCUCAGCUCUGGGAUAAGCCUGGGAAACUGGGUCUAAUACUGGAUAUGACCUUUCCUCGCAUGGGGUUGGGUGGAAAGUUUUUCGGCUGGGGAUGGGCCCGCGGCCUAUCAGCUUGUUGGUGGGGUGAUGGCCUACCAAGGCGACGACGGGAGCCGGCCUGAGAGGGCGACCGGCCACACUGGGACUGAGACACGGCCCAGACUCCUACGGGAGGCAGCAGUGGGAAUAUUGCGCAAUGGGCGGAAGCCUGACGCAGCGACGCCGCGUGGGGAUGACGG